rnacentral:rRNA from 1 species
AGAGUUUGAUCAUGGCUCAGAACUAACGCUAGCGGCGUGCCUAACACAUGCAAGUCUUACGAGAAAGUCCCCUUCGGGGGAUGAGUAAAGUGGCGCACGGGUGAGUAACACGUGGAUAAUCUACCCUUCAGUCGGGAAUAACUCAUCGAAAGAUGGGAUAAUACGCGAUGACGCCUCUCCGUUCCGGCGGAGCGGCCAAAGGUGGCCUCUCUAUAGAAGCUGCCGCUGAGGGAUGAGUUCGCGCACCAUUAGCUUGUUGGUGGGGUAAUGGCCUACCAAGGCGACGAUGGUUAGCUGGUCUUAGAGGACGACCAGCCACACUGGAACUGGAACACGGUCCAGACUCCUACGGGAGGCAGCAGUGAGGAAUUUUGCGCAAUGGGGGAAACCCUGACGCAGCAACGCCGCGUGAGUGAGGAAGGCCCUCGGGUCGUAAAGCUCUGUCAGGCGGGAAGAAAUGUUCGCAGGCUAAUAUCCUGCGUUCUUGACGGUACCGCCAGAGGAAGCACCGGCAAACUCCGUGCCAGCAGCCGCGGUAAUACGGGGGGUGCAAGCGUUGUUCGGAAUUAUUGGGCGUAAAGAGCGUGUAGGCGGCCAGGUAUGUCAGAUGUGAAAGCCCCGGGCUCAACCCGGGAAGUGCAUUUGAAACUGCCUGGCUGGAGUAAGAGAGAGGAAAGUGGAAUUCCUGGUGUAGAGGUGAAAUUCGUAGAUAUCAGGAGGAACACCGGUGGCGAAGGCGGCUUUCUGGCUCUAUACUGACGCUGAGGCGCGAAAGCGUGGGUAGCAAACAGGAUUAGAUACCCUGGUAGUCCACGCUGUAAACGAUGUUCACUAGGUGUUGGGGGUAUUGACCCCCUCAGUGCCGCAGCUAACGCAUUAAGUGAACCGCCUGGGGAGUACGGUCGCAAGACUAAAACUCAAAUGAAUUGACGG